GUAGUCUCGCACAGAUGCAUAUCAAUAAGCGGAGGAAAAGAAACUAACAAGGAUUCCCCUAGUAACGGCGAGUGAAGCGGGAAGAGCUCAAAUUUGAAAUCUUAAAGGGUUUCCCUUUACGAAUUGUAGUUUAAAGAAGUGUUUUCUGUUGAGGUUUUGGUAAAAGUUCUUUGGAAUAGGACAUCAUAGAGGGUGAGAAUCCCGUAUUUGACCUUUACUUUCAACUUUGUGAUACACUUUCAAAGAGUCGGAUUGUUUGGGAAUGCAGUCCAAAAUGGGUGGUAAAUUUCAUCUAAAGCUAAAUAUUGGCGAGAGACCGAUAGCGAACAAGUACCGUGAGGGAAAGAUGAAAAAGAACUUUGAAAAGAGAGUUAAACAGUACGUGAAAUUGUCAAAAGGGAAGCGUUUGACACCAGUGUUGUUUUUCUGAAAAUCAAUUAAAGAACUGUUUAUGCUAAGUUGUUUAGACUUUAUCAGCUAACUGUUUAGUUUUGAGCUUUUCUUUAAUGCACUUUUCAGUUAACAAGUCAACAUCAAUUUCUUUUGCUGUAAAAAAGCUUGAGGAAGGUGGCUUGAGAUUCGUCUUAAGUGUUUAUAGCCUCUUGCCUAUGCAGUCGGAGAGAUUGAGGUCUGCAGCGUAGAUCCUUCGGGGCUAAAUGCAUUUGUGCUAAGUUAUAGCAUUUUAUAGACAACUUGUUGACUAUGAUUUGUCUUGUAGCUUACUCGCUUAUGUUAUUUUACCUACGCUUAGGAUGUUGAUCUGUAGUGCGUGCGC
rnacentral:rRNA from 1 species